rnacentral:lncRNA from 1 species
GACUUGUUGGGUUUGUUGGACUUGUUGGGUUUGUUGGGCUUGUUGGGUUUGUUUGACUUGUUGGUUUUGUUUGACUUGUUGGACUUGUUUUGUUUUGUUUGACUUGUUGGGUUUGUUGGACUUGUUGGUUUCGUUUGACUUGUUUGGUUUGUUGGGUUUGUUGGUUUUGUUUGGCUUGUUGGACUUGUCGGUUUUGUUUGACUUGUUGGGUUUGUUUGGUUUGUUGGACUUGUUGGGUUUGUUGGACUUGUUGGUUUUGUUGGACUUGUUGGGUUUGUUGGACUUGUUGGGUUUGUUGGUUUUGUUUGACUUGUUGGUUUUGUUUGACUUGUUGGGUUUGUUGGACUUGUUGGGUUUGUCGGACUUGUUGGGUUUGUUGGUUUUGUUUGACUUGUUGGAUUUGUUUGACUUGUUUGGUUUGUUGGGUUUGUUGGACUUGUCGUUUUUGUUUGACUUGUUUGGUUUGUUGGGUUUGUUGGACUUGUUGGUUUUGUUUGACUUGUUGGUUUUGUUUGACUUAUUGGUUUUGUUUGACUUGUUGGGUUUGUUGGACUUGUUGGGUUUGUUGGACUUGUUGGGUUUGUUGGACUUGUUGGGUUUGUUGGUUUUGUUUGACUUGUUGGUUUUGUUUGACUUGUUGGACUUGUUUGGUUUUGUUUGACUUGUUGGAUUUGUUGGUUUUGUUUCGCUUGUUUGGCUUGUUGGGUUUGUUGGACUUGUUUGGCUUGUUGGACUUGUUGGGUUUGUUUGACUUGUUUGGCUUGUUGGAUUUGUUUGGCUUGUUGGAUUUGUUUGACUUGUUGGUUUUGUUGGCUUGUUGGACUUGUUUGGCUUGUUGGGUUUUUUUGGACUUGUUUGGCUUGUUGGGUUUGUUGGACUUGUUGGGUUUGUUGGUUUUGUUUGACUUGUUGGUUUUGUUUGACUUGUUGGACUUGUUUGGUUUUGUUGGCUUGUUGGGUUUGUUUGACUUGUUUGGCUUGUUGGAUUUGUUGGACUUGUUUGGCUUGUUGG